GACGUAGGGUCCAAGCGUUGUCCGGAUUUACUGGGCGUAAAGAGCGCGUAGGCGGUCCGUUAAGUGUAGAGUGAAAGCUCCGGGCUCAACUCGGAAAUUGCUCUGCAUACUGGCGGACUCGAGGACGGAAGAGGUUUGUGGAAUUCCUGGUGUAGCGGUGAAAUGCGUAGAUAUCAGGAGGAACACCCAUGGCGAAAGCGGCUCUCUGGGACGGUACUGACGCUGAGACGCGAAAGCGUGGGGAGCAAACAGG
rnacentral:rRNA from 1 species